GCCCUCUUGAUUCCUGUAGCUUUAUCUUAGGUCUUCAAACCAGGUUUUGGUAUCAAGGUUAUGCUGGCCUCAAAAAAUGCAUUGAUAUUCUAUUUCUUCUGUAAGUUUUGAUGUUUGAGUUCCUUA